rnacentral:rRNA from 1 species
CCUACGGGAGGCAGCAGUGGGGAAUAUUGGGCAAUGGGCGCAAGCCUGACCCAGCAACGCCGCGUGAAGGAAGAAGGCUUUCGGGUUGUAAACUUCUUUUCUCAGGGACGAAGCAAGUGACGGUCCCUGAGGAAUAAGCCCCGGCUAACUACGUGCCAGCAGCCGCGGUAAUCCGGAGGUGGCAAGCGUUAUCCGGAUUUACGGGGGUGAAAGGGCGUGUGGGGGGGGACGCAAGUCAGAUGUGAAACCCAGGGGCUCAACCUGUGGCCUGCAUUUGAAACUGUGUUUCUUGAGUACUGGGGAGGCAGACGGAAUUCCUGGUGUAGCGGUGAAAUGCGUAGAUAUUAGGAAGAACACCAGUGGCGAAGGCGGACUGCUGGACAGCAACUGACGGUGAGGCGCGAAAGCGUGGGGAGCAAACAGGAUUAGAUACCCCAGUAGUC